rnacentral:lncRNA from 1 species
GAUUUCUACUAACAUAAAGAGGAGUCGUGGUACUACUUGUGGUAUUUUUCCCAAACUGGGCUAGAAAACUCACAGAGAUGGGGAGUGGCUGGAGUUAAGUCACCUGCUCCCGGAAGCAAGUGCAGUAGAUGAUGAGUCCCGGAUCCCUUUUCUGCCCUGAUGGGGAGGGCAGGACUCAGGGGUGCCCAGGAUCUUCUAUAUAUGUGAGGGCUUUAUAGUCUGAUUAAAUGAAAGCAACCCAUCCCCCAGAGACAUACCUGUGGCGUCCAGGGAACAAAUUACAAACCAUAUUCUCACCAUUCUGUGUCUUUCUUACUCCUCCUCUCUUGGGUCUCUUGCAUUAUUAUCUGUGAGUGUGUGUGUGUGCACAUACGUGAACCUGCUUUUGCAGAGAAGUAAGAACUGAGGAAGAAUGGCAAAGAUGUCUGUACUCAAGAGACACUUGAAAUAAAACUCUAAGUGAUAAAUUUAAUUUCAUUGAUUAUGUCCCACAGUAGAAUUCCCAAGGAUAUACAUGUAUUAUGUCUUUGAUCUUGAA